CCCAGACUCCUACGGGAGGCAGCAGUGGGGAAUAUUGGGCAAUGGAGGAAACUCUUACCCAGCAAUGCCGCGUGAAUGAAGAAGGUCUUCGGAUUGUAAAGUUCUUUAAUUGGGGACGAAAAAAAUGACGGUACCCAAGGAAUAAGCCCCGGCUAACUACGUGCCAGCAGCCGCGGUAAUACGUAGGGGGCAAGCGUUGUUCGGAAUGACUGGGCGUAAAGGGUGCGUAGGCGGAAUGCCAAGUCAGCGGUAAAAUCGCGGGGCUCAACCUCGCUCCGCCGUUGAAACUGGCGUUCUUGAGUGGGCGAGAAGUAUGCGGAAUGCGUGGUGUAGCGGUGAAAUGCAUAGAUAUCACGUAGAACUCCGAUUGCGAAGGCAGCAUACCGGCGCCCAACUGACGCUGAAGCACGAAAGCGUGGGGAGCAAACAGGAUUAGAUACCCCUGUAG
rnacentral:rRNA from 1 species